GGAACUGUCAGAAAUCCUCAUGCCUUUCAA
rnacentral:piRNA from 1 species